rnacentral:rRNA from 2 species
AGAGUUUGAUCCUGGCUCAGGACGAACGCUGGCGGCGUGCCUAAUACAUGCAAGUCGAACGAACUCUGGUAUUGAUUGGUGCUUGCAUCAUGAUUUACAUUUGAGUGAGUGGCGAACUGGUGAGUAACACGUGGGAAACCUGCCCAGAAGCGGGGGAUAACACCUGGAAACAGAUGCUAAUACCGCAUAACAACUUGGACCGCAUGGUCCGAGUUUGAAAGAUGGCUUCGGCUAUCACUUUUGGAUGGUCCCGCGGCGUAUUAGCUAGAUGGUGGGGUAACGGCUCACCAUGGCAAUGAUACGUAGCCGACCUGAGAGGGUAAUCGGCCACAUUGGGACUGAGACACGGCCCAAACUCCUACGGGAGGCAGCAGUAGGGAAUCUUCCACAAUGGACGAAAGUCUGAUGGAGCAACGCCGCGUGAGUGAAGAAGGGUUUCGGCUCGUAAAACUCUGUUGUUAAAGAAGAACAUAUCUGAGAGUAACUGUUCAGGUAUUGACGGUAUUUAACCAGAAAGCCACGGCUAACUACGUGCCAGCAGCCGCGGUAAUACGUAGGUGGCAAGCGUUGUCCGGAUUUAUUGGGCGUAAAGCGAGCGCAGGCGGUUUUUUAAGUCUGAUGUGAAAGCCUUCGGCUCAACCGAAGAAGUGCAUCGGAAACUGGGAAACUUGAGUGCAGAAGAGGACAGUGGAACUCCAUGUGUAGCGGUGAAAUGCGUAGAUAUAUGGAAGAACACCAGUGGCGAAGGCGGCUGUCUGGUCUGUAACUGACGCUGAGGCUCGAAAGUAUGGGUAGCAAACAGGAUUAGAUACCCUGGUAGUCCAUACCGUAAACGAUGAAUGCUAAGUGUUGGAGGGUUUCCGCCCUUCAGUGCUGCAGCUAACGCAUUAAGCAUUCCGCCUGGGGAGUACGGCCGCAAGGCUGAAACUCAAAGGAAUUGACGGGGGCCCGCACAAGCGGUGGAGCAUGUGGUUUAAUUCGAAGCUACGCGAAGAACCUUACCAGGUCUUGACAUACUAUGCAAAUCUAAGAGAUUAGACGUUCCCUUCGGGGACAUGGAUACAGGUGGUGCAUGGUUGUCGUCAGCUCGUGUCGUGAGAUGUUGGGUUAAGUCCCGCAACGAGCGCAACCCUUAUUAUCAGUUGCCAGCAUUAAGUUGGGCACUCUGGUGAGACUGCCGGUGACAAACCGGAGGAAGGUGGGGAUGACGUCAAAUCAUCAUGCCCCUUAUGACCUGGGCUACACACGUGCUACAAUGGAUGGUACAACGAGUUGCGAACUCGCGAGAGUAAGCUAAUCUCUUAAAGCCAUUCUCAGUUCGGAUUGUAGGCUGCAACUCGCCUACAUGAAGUCGGAAUCGCUAGUAAUCGCGGAUCAGCAUGCCGCGGUGAAUACGUUCCCGGGCCUUGUACACACCGCCCGUCACACCAUGAGAGUUUGUAACACCCAAAGUCGGUGGGGUAACCUUUUAGGAACCAGCCGCCUAAGGUGGGACAGAUGAUUAGGGUGAAGUCGUAACAGGGUAACC